rnacentral:pre_miRNA from 1 species
CUUCAUAGGGGGCGAGGGGGGUUCGAUUUUUGGUCGAUUUUUGGCAAAAAUCGACCAGAAAUCGAACCCCCCACCGCCCACUAUGAAG